rnacentral:rRNA from 1 species
CCUACGGGGGGCAGCAGUGAGGAAUAUUGGUCAAUGGGCUUACGCCUGAACCAGCCAAGUCGCGUGAGGGAAGACUGCCCUAUGGGUUGUAAACCUCUUUUGUCAGGGAGCAAUUGGCGCUACGUGUAGCGUUAUCGAGAGUACCUGAAGAAAAAGCAUCGGCUAACUCCGUGCCAGCAGCCGCGGUAAUACGGAGGAUGCGAGCGUUAUCCGGAUUUAUUGGGUUUAAAGGGUGCGUAGGCGGAAUGCCAAGUCAGCGGUAAAAUCCCGGGGCUCAACCUCGCUCCGCCGUUGAAACUGGCGGUCUUGAGUGGGCGAGAAGUAUGCGGAAUGCGUGGUGUAGCGGUGAAAUGCAUAGAUAUCACGCAGAACUCCGAUUGCGAAGGCAGCAUACCGGCGCCCAACUGACGCUGAAGCACGAAAGCGUGGGUAUCGAACAGGAUUAGAUACCCGAGUAGUC